CAUGCUCUAUCUUUCAAUGGAAAGGAAAAACGGAAACGGAAUGCAUACGGAGUACAUUCCGUUUUUUUUGCGGAACCAUUGAAAUGAAUGGUUCUGUAUACGGACCAUAUAUGGAAAGCAAAAAACGCCCCGUAAACGGGGGGGAAAAAACGGUCGUGUGAAAGAGGCCUUUAUGGCCAGAAGAAGU